CCUACGGGAGGCAGCAGUCGAGAAUCAUUCACAAUGAGGGAAACCCUGAUGGUGCGACGCCGCGUGGGGGAAUGAAGUUCUUCGGAUUGUAAACGCCUGUCAUGUGGGAGCAAAUUAAAAAGAUAGUACCACAAGAGGAAGAGACGGCUAACUCUGUGCCAGCAGCCGCGGUAAUACAGAGGUCUCAAGCGUUGUUCGGGAUCACUGGGCGUAACGCGUGCGUAGGCUGUUUCGUAAGUCGUGGGUGAAAUGCCCGGGCUCAACCCGCGGCCGGCACAUGAUACUGCGAGACUAGAGGAAUGAAGGGGGGAACCGGAAUUCUCGGUGUAGCAGUGAAAUGCGUAGAUAUAGAGAGGAACACUCGUGGCGAAGGCGGGUUCCUGGACAUUAACUGACGCUGAGGGACGAAGGCCAGGGGAGCGAAAGGGAUUAGAUACCCCUGUAGUC
rnacentral:rRNA from 1 species